GUCGUGCACGCCCGAGUGUGUCGCCUCACAUAAUAAUCCAUCUCACCCUUUGUGCAUCACCGCGUGGGCACCCCUUUGGGAUCAUCUCGGAGGGGGCUCGCGUUUUCACACAAAACCCCCCUUUUAAAAGUGUAGAAUGACCUCAUUUAUGCGCUAACCCGCAAUCAAUACAACUUUCAACAACGGAUCUCUUGGCUCUCGCAUCGAUGAAGAACGCAGCGAAAUGCGAUACGUAAUGUGAAUUGCAGAAUUCAGUGAAUCAUCGAAUCUUUGAACGCACCUUGCGCCCCCUGGUAUUCCGAGGGGCACACCCGUUUGAGUGUCGUGAAAACCUCAACCUCCUUGGUUUCUUCUGGAGACCAAAGCAGGCUUGGACUUUGGAGGCCUUUGCUGGCACCUCUCGCCAGCUCCUCUUAAAUGAAUUAGCAGGGUCCUCUUUGCUGAUCCUCGACGUGUGAUAAGAUGUUUCCAUGUCUUGGUUUCUGGCUCUGUCACCUUUGGGACCCGCUUCUAACCGUCUUCAACCUUGCGUUGAGACAACGUUCGAGCAUGUCUCCCUUCUCGGGAAGCUCCCUCGACCCCACGAACCCUUGACCUCAAAUCGGGUGAGACUACCCGCUGAACUUAAGCAU
rnacentral:misc_RNA from 1 species